rnacentral:rRNA from 1 species
GGAAUAUUGGACAAUGGGCGCAAGCCUGAUCCAGCCAUGCCGCGUGUGUGAAGAAGGCCUUCGGGUUGUAAAGCACUUUUGUUGGGGAAGAAAAGCCAUGGGCUAAUACCCUAUGGCUUGACAGUACCUCCAGAGGAAGCACCGGCUAACUCCGUGCCAGCAGCCGCGGUAAUACGGAGGGUGCAAGCGUUGUUCGGAAUUAUUGGGCGUAAAGCGCGCGUAGGCGGCCGUUUAAGUCUCACUGUGAAAGCCUGCGGCUCAACCGCAGGAGGCCAGGGGAUACUGGGCGGCUGGAGAGAGGUAGAGGCGAGCGGAAUUCCGGGUGUAGCGGUGGAAUGCGUAGAGAUCCGGAAGAACACCAGAGGCGAAGGCGGCUCGCUGGACCUGUUCUGACGCUGAGGCGCGAAAGCGUGGGGAGC